GAGGGCAUAGCUCAUUGUUAGAGCACGUGCUUAGCACGCAGGAAGUCCUGGGUGCAAUCCCCAGUACCUCCA
rnacentral:tRNA from 1 species